GGCUCAUACACCUCACCCCACUUAUGUUUCCUUGCAAUAGAUCACAUUCUUGGAUUUCUGGUGGAGACCAUUUCUUGGUAAAAAAUCCAUAUGUGUUAGCCUUCGGUAUUAUUGAAAAUGGUCGUUCGUGGCUAUUUUCAACAAAAAUAGGAGUUAUGUGGCCAUUGAUCAUCAACCAGAGGCUCAUACACCUCACCCCACUUAUGUUUCCUUGCCAUAGGUCACAUUCUUGGAUUUCUGAUGGAGACCAUUUCUUGGUCAAAAACUGUAGGUGUUAGCCUUCGGUAUUAUUGAAAAUGGUCGUUCAUGCUAUUUUCGACAAAAUAGGGGUUGUGUGGCCAUUGAUCAUCGACCAGAGGCUCAUACAGCACACCACACACAUGUUUCCUUGCCAUAGAUCACAUUCUUCCAUUCCUGGUGGAGACCAUACCUUGGUCAAAAAUCUGUAGGUGUUAGCCUUCGGUAUUAUUGAAAAUGGUCGUUCAUUCUAUUUUCGAUAAAAAUAGGGAUUGUGCGGCCACUUAUCAUCGACCAGAGGCUUGUACACCUCACCCUACAUAUGUUUCCUUGCCAUAGAUUAAAUUCUUGGAUUUUUGGUGGAGACAACUUCAUGGUCAAAAAUCCGUAUGUGUUAGCCUUCGGUAUUAUUGAAAAUGGUCGUUCAUGGCUGUUUUCGCCAAAAAUGGGGGUUGUGUGGCCAUUGACCAUCGACCAGUGUCUUGUACACCUCACCCCACAUAUGUUUCCUUGUCAAAGAUAACAUUCUUGGAUUUUUGGUGGAUACCAUUACUAGGUCAAAAAUCUGUAAUUGUUUGCCUUCGGUAUUAUUGAAAAUGGUCGUUCAUGCUAUUUUGGACAAAAAUGGGGGUUGUGCGGCAAUUGAUCAUCGACCAGAGGCACGUACACUUCACCCCACGUAUGUUUUCUUGCCAUAGAUCACAUUCUUGGAUUUUUUAUGAAACCAUUUCUUGGUCAAAAAUCCAUAGGUGUUAGCCUUCGUUAUUAUUGAAAAUUGUCGUUCAUGCUAUUUUCGACAAAAAUGGGGGUUGUGUGGCCAUUAAUCAUCGACCAGUUACUCGUACACCACACCACACAUAUGUUUCCUUGCCAUAGAUCACAUUCUUGCAUUUCUGGUGGAGACCAUAUCUUGGUCAAAAAUCUGUAUGUGUUAGCCUUCGGUAUUAUUGAAAAUGGUCGUUCAUGCAAUUUUCGACAAAAAUGGGGAUUGUGCGGCCACUUAUCAUUGACCAGAGGCUUGUACACCUCACCCAACAUAGGUUUCCUUGCCAUAGAUUAAAUUCUUGGAUUUUUGGUGGAGACCAUUUCUUGGUAAAAAAUCCAUAGGUGUUAGCCUUCAUUAUUAUUGAAAAUGGUCUUUCAUGCUAUUUUCGACAAAAAUGGGGGUUGUGUGGCCAUUGAUCAUCGAGCAGUUACUCGUACACCUCACUGCACAUAUGUUUCCUUGCCAUAGGUCACAUUCUUGGAUUUCUGGUGGAGACCAUUUCUUAGCCAAAAAUCUGUAGCCUUUGGCAUUAUUGAAAAUGGUCGUUCAUGGUUAUUUUCGACAAAAAUGGGGGUUCUGUGGCCUUUGAUCAUUGACCAGAGGCUCGUUCACCUCACCCCACAUAUGUUUCCUUGCCAUAGAUCACAUUCUUGGAUUUCUGGUGGAGACCAUUUCUUGGUCAAAAAUCCAUAGGUGUUAGCCUUCGGUAUUAUUGAAAAUGGUCGUUCAUGGCUAUUUUCGACAAAAAUGGGGGUUGUGUGGCCAUUGAUCAUUGACCAGAGGCUCGUUCACCUCACCCCACAUAUGGUUCUUGCCAUAGAUCACAUUCUUGGAUUUCUAGUGGAGACCAGUUCUUGGUCAAAAAUCCAUAGGUGUUUGCCUUCGGUAUUAUUGAAAAUCGUCGUUCAUGAUAUUUUCAACAAAAAUAGGUGUUGGGUGGCCUUUGAUCGUCUACCAAAGGCUCGUGCACCUCUCCCCACAUAUGUUUCCUUGCCAUAGAUCACAUUCUUGGAUUUCUGGUGGAGACCAAUUCUUAGUGAAAAAUCAGUUGGUGUUAGCCUUCAAUAUUAUUGAAAAUAGUCGUUCAUGCUAUUUUCGACCAUAAUGGGGCUUGUGUGGCCAUUUAUCAUUGACCAAAGGCUCGUACACCUCACCCCACAUAUGUUUCCUUGCCAUAGAUCAC
rnacentral:lncRNA from 1 species